rnacentral:tRNA from 1 species
GUCGGGGUGGCGAAAUGGUAAACGCAGCAGACUUAAAAUCUGCCGGAGCCUCCGCUCCUUACGGGUUCGAGCCCCGUUCCCGGCA